rnacentral:rRNA from 1 species
UACGUAGGGUGCAAGCGUUGUCCGGAAUUAUUGGGCGUAAAGAGCUCGUAGGCGGUCUGUCACGUCGGCUGUGAAAUCCCGAGGCUCAACCUCGGGUCUGCAGUCGAUACGGGCAAACUAGAGUAUUGCAGGGGAGACUGGAAUUCCUGGUGUAGCGGUGAAAUGCGUAGAUAUCUGGAGGAACACCGGUGGCGAAGGCGGCAUCCUGGACCGGCAUUGACGCUGAGGAGCGAAAGCCAGGGGAGCAAACGGGG